UACGUAGGGGGCAAGCGUUGUCCGGAAUUAUUGGGCGUAAAGAGCGUGUAGGCGGUCCGGUAAGUCCGCUGUGAAAGUCGGGGGCUCAACCCUCGGAUGCCGGUGGAUACUGUCGGGCUUGAGUACGGAAGAGGCGAGUGGAAUUCCUGGUGUAGCGGUGAAAUGCGCAGAUAUCAGGAGGAACACCAAUUGCGAAGGCAGCUCGCUGGGACGUUACUGACGCUGAGACGCGAAAGCGUGGGGAGCAAACAGG
rnacentral:rRNA from 1 species